UACGUAGGUGGCAAGCGUUAUCCGGAUUUAUUGGGCGUAAAGGGAACGCAGGCGGUCUUUUAAGUCUGAUGUGAAAGCCUUCGGCUUAACCGGAGUAGGGCAUUGGAAACUGGGAGACUUGAGUGCAGAAGAGGAGAGUGGAACUCCAUGUGUAGCGGUGAAAUGCGUAGAUAUAUGGAAGAACACCAGUGGCGAAAGCGGCUCUCUGGUCUGUAACUGACGCUGAGGUUCGAAAGCGUGGGUAGCAAACAGG
rnacentral:rRNA from 1 species